GGGGAUGUAGCUCAAACGUUAGAGCGCUAGCUUUGCAUAGAAGUACGGGGUUCGAUACCCCACAUCUCCA
rnacentral:tRNA from 1 species